rnacentral:rRNA from 1 species
CCUACGGGGGGCAGCAGUGGGGAAUAUUGGACAAUGGGGGCAACCCUGAUCCAGCCAUGCCGCGUGUGUGAAGAAGGCCCUCGGGUUGUAAAGCACUUUCAGUGAGGAAGAACGCCUGGUGGUUAAUACCCAUCAGGAAAGACAUCACUCACAGAAGAAGCACCGGCUAACUCCGUGCCAGCAGCCGCGGUAAUACGGAGGGUGCGAGCGUUAAUCGGAAUUACUGGGCGUAAAGCGCGCGUAGGUGGCUUGAUAAGCCGGUUGUGAAAGCCCCGGGCUCAACCUGGGAACGGCAUCCGGAACUGUCAAGCUAGAGUGCAGGAGAGGAAGGUAGAAUUCCCGGUGUAGCGGUGAAAUGCGUAGAGAUCGGGAGGAAUACCAGUGGCGAAGGCGGCCUUCUGGACUGACACUGACGCUGAGGUGCGAAAGCGUGGGUAGCAAACAGGAUUAGAUACCCUGGUAGUC